rnacentral:rRNA from 1 species
GAUGAACGCUAGCGGGAGGCCUAACACAUGCAAGCCGAGCGGUAGAGUUCCUUCGGGAACUUGAGAGCGGCGUACGGGUGCGUAACACGUGUGCAACCUACCUUUAUCUGGGGGAUAGCCUUUCGAAAGGAAGAUUAAUACCCCAUAAUAUAAUGAUUGGCAUCAAUUAUUAUUGAAAACUCCGGUGGAUAGAGAUGGGCACGCGCAAGAUUAGAUAGUUGGUGAGGUAACGGCUCACCAAGUCAAUGAUCUUUAGGGGUCCUGAGAGGGAGAUCCCCCACACUGGUACUGAGACACGGACCAGACUCCUACGGGAGGCAGCAGUGAGGAAUAUUGGACAAUGGGUGAAAGCCUGAUCCAGCCAUCCCGCGUGAAGGAUGACGGUCCUAUGGAUGGUAAACUUCUUUUGUACAGGGAUAAACCUACUCUCGUGAGGGUAGCUGAAGGUACUGUACGAAUAAGCACCGGCUAACUCCGUG